rnacentral:sRNA from 1 species
AGAUUUGGAAAGGAUACAAUACAUAUGAAAAUGAAGAGUUUAGACUUCAAAGAGACACAAAGUUCGACCUAUGAGGAAGGGUUUUUUCGAGAACAUUGCAAAAACCAAACUAAUCUUAACUCGAAACUAAACGAAGCUUUCGAAGCUCACCACAAGGACUUCUCGCACAACAAACUGUGAAGACUUGCUUCAACACUUAUGGCAAUAACAAGAUAGUGAAACUUGGUUUUCUCCGGAAAUGAUGCUUCUUUUUCAAAGAGUGCCUAAGUCAAGGGUUUCUCGGAUGAACCGUAAAAUAAUCGAGAACCACUUAAACCUUUCAACGCCACAACGAUCAAUUAAUUAAGCUAACCUUUGCUUAAUACAACAAAAGAAGAACUGAUAACGUAAUCCAAGAGCUCAACCCCAAACUAACAAAAUCUAAGUUAGUCGGGAAAGAGAAGCUAAACCCAAAAAAGGGAGACAAUAGCCCAAACAAGAGAGAUAAUUUAACCUAAGCUGCUGAUGUUACCAGAUCUCACGAAGACAAACUGAUCAGAGCAACAAGUUUCACAAAAGCAGAAGACAUGAACCGUAUCUUGGUUAUGUGAUUCAAAAAAGAAUUGUCAAUUAUUCGAUGAAAAAUAGAUAAAAUAUGACUUUAUGCAUUAACCGUAACUAAUUUAGAUAUAUGCUUUCAAUUAUUAAAAUCAUCCAAAAAACAUAGUCAAUCUGGUUCUGAUUAAAUAGUUUGAAAAUUGUAUGUCAUGAAUGGGUUUAAAUGUUGUAAGAAUAUGUAUAAUAUCAUAACCUAAUCGGC